UACAGAGGGUGCGAGCGUUAAUCGGAAUUACUGGGCGUAAAGCGUGCGUAGACGGUUAUUUAAGUCGGGUGUGAAAGCCCCGGGCUCAACCUGGGAAUUGCAUUCGAGACUGAAUAGCUAGGGUACGGUAGAGGGAAGUGGAAUUUCCGGUGUAGCGGUGAAAUGCGUAGAUAUCGGAAGGAACACCAGUGGCGAAGGCGACUCACUGGACACGUAUUGACGCUGAGGUGCGAAAGCGUGGGGAGCAAACAGG
rnacentral:rRNA from 1 species